ACUACGGGUGGCAGCAGUGGGGGAUAUUGCACAAUGGGGGGAACCCUGAUGCAGCGACGCCGCGUGGGUGAAGAAGCGCCUCGGCGCGUAAAGCCCUGUCAGCAGGGAAGAAAAUGACGGUACCUGAAGAAGAAGCCCCGGCUAACUACGUGCCAGCAGCCGCGGUAAUACGUAGGGGGCAAGCGUUAUCCGGAUUUACUGGGUGUAAAGGGGGCGCAGACGGCGAUGCAAGCCAGGAGUGAAAGCCCGGGGCCCAACCCCGGGACUGCUCUUGGGACUGCGUGGCUGGAGUGCAGGAGGGGCAGGCGGAAUUCCUGGUGUAGCGGUGAAAUGCGUAGAUAUCAGGAGGAACACCGGUGGCGAAGGCGGCCUGCUGGACUGCAACUGACGUUGAGGCCCGAAAGCGUGGGGAGCAAACAGGAUUAGAUACCCCUGUAGUC
rnacentral:rRNA from 1 species